GUGCUUAACACAUGCAAGUCGAACGGAAAGGCCCUGCUUUUGUGGGGUGCUCGAGUGGCGAACGGGUGAGUAACACGUGAGUAACCUGCCCUUGACUUUGGGAUAACUUCAGGAAACUGGGGCUAAUACCGGAUAGGAGCUCCUGCUGCAUGGUGGGGGUUGGAAAGUUUCGGCGGUUGGGGAUGGACUCGCGGCUUAUCAGCUUGUUGGUGGGGUAGUGGCUUACCAAGGCUUUGACGGGUAGCCGGCCUGAGAGGGUGACCGGCCACAUUGGGACUGAGAUACGGCCCAGACUCCUACGGGAGGCAGCAGUGGGGAAUAUUGCACAAUGGGCGGAAGCCUGAUGCAGCAACGCCGCGUGCGGGAUGACGGCCUUCGGGUUGUAAACCGCUUUCGCCUGUGACGAAGCGUGAGUGACGGUAAUGGGUAAAGAAGCACCGGCUAACUACGUGCCAGCAGCCGCGGUGAUACGUAGGGUGCGAGCGUUGUCCGGAUUUAUUGGGCGUAAAGGGCUCGUAGGUGGUUGAUCGCGUCGGAAGUGUAAUCUUGGGGCUUAACCCUGAGCGUGCUUUCGAUACGGGUUGACUUGAGGAAGGUAGGGGAGAAUGGAAUUCCUGGUGGAGCGGUGGAAUGCGCAGAUAUCAGGAGGAACACCAGUGGCGAAGGCGGUUCUCUGGGCCUUUCCUGACGCUGAGGAGCGAAAGCGUGGGGAGCGAACAGGCUUAGAUACCCUGGUAGUCCACGCUGUAAACGGUGGGUACUAGGUGUGGGGUCCAUUCCACGGGUUCCGUGCCGUAGCUAACGCUUUAAGUACCCCGCCUGGGGAGUACGGCCGCAAGGCUAAAACUCAAAGGAAUUGACGGGGCCCCGCACAAGCGGCGGAGCAUGCUGAUUAAUUCGAUGCAACGCGUAGAACCUUACCUGGGUUUGACAUGGAUCGGGAGUGCUCAGAGAUGGGUGUGCCUCUUUUGGGGUCGGUUCACAGGUGGUGCAUGGCUGUCGUCAGCUCGUGUCGUGAGAUGUUGGGUUAAGUCCCGCAACGAGCGCAACCCUUGUUCACUGUUGCCAGCACGUUAUGGUGGGGACUCAGUGGAGACCGCCGGGGUCAACUCGGAGGAAGGUGGGGAUGACGUCAAGUCAUCAUGCCCCUUAUGUCCAGGGCUUCACGCAUGCUACAAUGGCUGGUACAGAGAGUGGCGAGCCUGUGAGGGUGAGCGAAUCUCGGAAAGCCGGUCUCAGUUCGGAUUGGGGUCUGCAACUCGACCUCAUGAAGUCGGAGUCGCUAGUAAUCGCAGAUCAGCAACGCUGCGGUGAAUACGUUCCCGGGGCUUGUACACACCGCCCGUCAAGUCAUGAAAGUUGGUAACACCCGAAGCCGGUGGCCUAACCGUUGUGGGGGAGCCGUCGAAGGUGGGACUGGUGAUUAGGACUAAA
rnacentral:rRNA from 1 species